UUCUCAGUGGCAGGAGCAGAGUUCAGAGACCUACCUCGUACAAGGGCCGGUGGGCGGGCAGCCUGGCCUCGCUGCCAAGACCUGUCUGUGCAGUCGUGCCCAGUGGGCAGCACAUGCGGUGAGGCAGGAUCCGGCAGGAAUGGCGGAUGGGCCAGGCUGAAUGUGACUUGGCAAGGGCCUGGAGGCGGCUUUUGAGAAGCAGAUUUGGGGCAGUGCGGUACUGUGUUAGAGAUUGGGUAUAUAGACACAGAUGAGACCUGUUUCUGCCCUCAAGGAUCUCACAGUCUAACUGCAGUCCUGUCAGGAAGACAGAAUAUCAUUCCCACAAUGUAGAUGAGGAAACUGGAGCCAAAAGUACUGUCUCAACUUCCCUCCGCCUCUUCACCCCCCACACUGUCUCCAUCAGAGUGUUGAGCAAGAAGCAAUCAUCUGUGGAAGGCAGCCUGGAAAAACUGCUCCCUGGAAUGGAGUCAGUCCUCUCUGGGCUCCUACUUGUGCAACUGAAACGGCAUCAGUGGGUCUGCAUCUAUGUUAGUUGCUGAUCUGAUGCUCUCUACCAAUCAGCAGUGGCCGCCUUUAUCUCUUAGAUAAUUCUUGACUUGGGGAAGAUUGUCUUCCUCCUUCUUCUCCCUGGAUUAUCUGAACAGAUAAGGGGACUGUAAAAUCCAGGGACCCAUGGAAACCUGGGAGGCUCCAAAUGGUGGUGGAUGCUCACUGAACACUAGAUUUAUAAACUAAUGAGCAUUGCUUAGUUCUUUGUAGUGGACAGAGUGUGUUCACAUGAGCAGAGAACAGUAUGCUUGUCAAUUCCCCCUCCCUUCCACGUUUACCAGCUCAGGAUUCCUGGAAAGGUCUGAAUCACCAAAGCUUAGGAUGGUUCUCUUCAUUUUUAGGCUUAAGCUAAAAGGGACAUAGAGAGGUCAUCUGUCCCAGUGAUUAUCAAAUUUUGGUCUGUGACAGAGUUUUCACCGGUCCGAAAUGAAAUGAGAAAAAAAGGGAAGCAUACUGAAUUUUUUUCGGGAAGCAUAAUGUAUUCAGUUUAAAGGAUUACUUUCGGAGGCAGGAGAUGUACUCAAAUAUUUAUUCUGAGGUUAUGGCUUGCUUAUUCUUUUCAUGAGCUGAUGAUGAGAGUGGA